GAAAGCUCACAGCAGGUGAGCAGAAGGCAGGAGAUACGAAAGGAAGCCAGGCGGUGGGGUAAUCAGGAGGUCAUGUUGUGGAGCCAGAGGUCAGAGCACUUUGAGAUCUGCACAGGAAGCACAAAGCUCUGGUUACCACUGGAAGCCGUCUUGCCCCCAUAAACCAGCCUUAGGAUGCCACUGAUGCUGUAUGGCAGAAUGGAGUAACAGAGAGAAUUUGCAGAAUAAAGAAGGGACAAUGCAGUCACCAGGUCAGCAUUAAGGGAAGGCUUGGCUGCAUCAUCUGCCACUCUGCUGCUGCUGACUCUGCCAGUGGGGACAGCACAUGCUUCCUUCUACGCUUGCCUGAGGUUCGUAACUUCAGAGCCCCACAGCAUUUCUGGAAGGAGUAAAAUGAGCUACAUGGUCCGGGAAGCUACUCCUAAGUAGAGUUCACAAUCAAAGGAAUAGAAGCUGGGGAAAACAAUAAAGCAGUCUUCUUCUUCUCAA
rnacentral:lncRNA from 1 species